GGGGUUGUAGCUCAGUUGGGAGAGCGCUUGAAUGGCAUUCAAGAGGUCGUCGGUUCGAUCCCGACCAGCUCCACCA
rnacentral:tRNA from 1 species